rnacentral:lncRNA from 12 species
AUGUCUUCGGGCAGAACAGAAGAACUUCUGCAUCAUAAAACAUAUGCAUGUGUGCACACGUUUUUACAUCAGAAAUCACUGGAGAUUCAGACCAAUAUUAUGAAAGAAAUCAGACUUCCUCCGAUGUAUCACUGUUGGCUUCUGGCUCCCCUUAACUUGACAUUCUUGAGCUACUCCAUUUGUCUGAUCCAAUUUUGUCGAGAUUAAAAAGGAAACAACAGGAGCAAGAGAAAUCAGGCCGAGAAAAUUUGCAAGAACAGUUGUAAACAUGAGAAGAUGGAUGUUGGUUGAUUCCGGGGCUGAGAGUGAAGGCCUAUUAGGCUCCAUAUGGAAUCAGUAACACUGUCUCCAGUGAUGUAUGAAUUGUUAUGGUUUUGAGUUGACAUCUUCCUGAAUCUGAAUGAGCUGCAGCGCUAUGUAUACUGUCACUUUUAAAAACAGGUUUCAUACAUCUGAACCCAUACACUGAACAAAUGAAUAAAAAUGAUUCUAUAAAAGCA